CCACAACAACACGGGUGCCCGCCAAGGGCUGAGACGCGCGACGCGCGAACCGUCGAACCUGAUCCGGUUAAUGCCGGCGAUAGGAAGAAAUAUGUCUAACGCA
rnacentral:ncRNA from 2 species